UUUUAGGGGGUGGGUUUUUGGUUUUUUUGGAGAAUGAUUGUUCUUUGUUUUGGAGGAGGUUUUUUUUAUUUUUUGGAGGUGUUUUUUUGUUUUUUGGAAAGAAGGUUAUUUUUGUUUCUUGGAAAGGCUAGUUUUUGGAGAUUAAUCAAAGAUCAAAGCAAAAGAGGUUUCUUUUGUCUAUUCUUAUCUUUAGUUCUUUGUUUGUUUGUUGUUUUCCUUUCAAUUUUAUUUUGUUUUUUUUAUACGAAAGUAAAAAUAAAAGUAAGAAGCUUACCCAUAUUUUCAUUACCGAAAAAGGUUUUUUUUGAGGUCCGGCCGCCGUGUACGGUGGCGUCGAUGGUGGCCCGUGGGGGUCCAUGACCGAAACAAAGCCGGACCAACGGCCGGAUUUAGAAAAGAGGGA